rnacentral:rRNA from 1 species
CGCGUAGGCGGCUUGUACAGUCAGACGUGAAAUUCCUGGGCUCAACCUGGGGGCUGCGUUUGAUACGUGCGGGCUUGAGUUCGGAAGAGGGUCGUGGAAUUCCCAGUGUAGAGGUGAAAUUCGUAGAUAUUGGGAAGAACACCGGUGGCGAAGGCGGCGACCUGGUCCGAUACUGACGCUGAGGCGCGAAAGCGUGGGGAGCAAACAGGAUUAGAUACCCUGGUAGUCCACGCCGUAAACGAUGUGCGCUGGAUGUUGGGUGACAUAGUCAUUCAGUGUCGUAGCUAACGCGAUAAGCGCACCGCCUGGGGAGUACGGCCGCAAGGUUGAA